AGAGUUUGAUCCUGGCUCAGAGUGAACGCUGGCGGCGUGCCUAACACAUGCAAGUCGAACGAGAACGGACUUAAGCUUGCUUAAGUUGUCAGCUAAGUGGCGCACGGGUGAGUAAUAUAUAGGUAAUGUGCCCUAGAGAGGGGGAUAACAGAUGGAAACGCCUGCUAAUACCCCAUAUGCCUUUAAGACAGAAGUCUGCAAGGGAAAUAUUUAUAGCUCUAGGAUCGGCCUGUACAGUAUCAGAUAGUUGGUGGGGUAAUGGCCUACCAAGUCAAUGACGCUUAACUGGUUUGAGAGGAUGAUCAGUCACACUGGAACUGAGACACGGUCCAGACUCCUACGGGAGGCAGCAGUGGGGAAUAUUGCACAAUGGGGGAAACCCUGAUGCAGCAACGCCGCGUGGAGGAUGACACAUUUCGGUGCGUAAACUCCUUUUAUAUAGGAAGAUAAUGACGGUACUAUAUGAAUAAGCGCCGGCUAACUCCGUGCCAGCAGCCGCGGUAAUACGGAGGGCGCAAGCGUUACUCGGAAUCACUGGGCGUAAAGAGCGUGUAGGCGGAUAGAUAAGUUGGGAGUGAAAUCCUAUGGCUCAACCAUAGAACUGCUUCCAAAACUGUCUAUCUAGAGUAUGGGAGAGGUAGAUGGAAUUUCUGGUGUAGGGGUAAAAUCCGUAGAGAUCAGAAGGAAUACCGAUUGCGAAGGCGAUCUACUGGAACAUAACUGACGCUGAGACGCGAAAGCGUGGGGAGCAAACAGGA
rnacentral:rRNA from 1 species